rnacentral:rRNA from 1 species
AGUAAUGCCUAGGAAUCUGCCUGGUAGUGGGUGACAACGUUUCGAAAGGAACGCUAAUACCGCAUACGUCCUACGGGAGAAAGCAGGGGACCUUCGGGCCUUGCGCUAUCAGAUGAGCCUAGGUCGGAUUAGCUAGUUGGUGAGGUAAUGGCUCACCAAGGCGACGAUCCUUAACUGGUCUGAGAGGAUGAUCAGUCACACUGGAACUGAGACACGGUCCAG